rnacentral:tRNA from 1 species
GUUAGAGUAGAGCAAUGGUAGCUCGUUGGGCUCAUGACCCAGAGGUUGUAAGUUCGAAUCUUGCCUCUAACA